rnacentral:rRNA from 1 species
GCGCCGGCGAUGUUUCAUUCAAAUUUCUGCCCUAUCAACUUUCGACGGUAGGGUAGUGGCCUACCGUGGUGGUAACGGGUGACGGAGGAUUAGGGUUCGAUUCCGGAGAGGGAGCCUGAGAAACGGCUACCACAUCCAAGGAAGGCAGCAGGCGCGCAAAUUACCCAAAUCCCAACUCGGGGAGGUAGUGACAAGAAAUAACGAUGCUCCGGCCAUCGGUCGGGUAAUCGGAAUGAGGACAAUUUAAAUCCCUUAUCGAGGAUCAAUUGGAGGGCAAGUCUGGUGCCAGCAGCCGCGGUAAUUCCAGCUCCAAUAGCGUAUAUUUAAGUUGCUGCGGUUAAAAAGCUCGUAGUCGGAUUUCGGGUGGUGCCUACCGGUCCGCCCUUGGUGUGUACUGGUAGGCGCCACCUUUCUGCCGAGGACGGGUUCCUGGGCUUAGCUGUCUGGGGCCCGGAGUCGGCGAUGUCACUUUGAGUAAAUUAGGGUGUUUAAAGCAGGCUUAUGCUCUGUAUACACUAGCAUGGGAUGACACGAUAGGACUUCGGUCUAUCUUGUCGGUCUGUAGAUCGGAGUAAUGAUUAAGAGGGACAGUCGGGGGCAUUCGUAUUUCGUAGUCAGAGGUGAAAUUCUUGGAUUUACGGAAGACGAACUUCUGCGAAAGCAUUUGCCAAGGAUGUUUUCAUUGAUCAAGAACGAAAGUCGGGGGCUCGAAGACGAUUAGAUACCGUCGUAGUCUCGACCAUAAACGAUGCCGACUAG